CCUACGGGAGGCAGCAGUGGGGAAUUUUGGACAAUGGGCGAAAGCCUGAUCCAGCAAUGCCGCGUGAGUGAAGAAGGCCUUCGGGUUGUAAAGCUCUUUUGUCAGGGAAGAAACGGUGAAAGCUAAUAUCUUUUGCUAAUGACGGUACCUGAAGAAUAAGCACCGGCUAACUACGUGCCAGCAGCCGCGGUAAUACGUAGGGUGCAAGCGUUAAUCGGAAUUACUGGGCGUAAAGCGUGCGCAGGCGGUUUUGUAAGUCUGAUGUGAAAUCCCCGGGCUCAACCUGGGAAUUGCAUUGGAGACUGCAAGGCUAGAAUCUGGCAGAGGGGGGUAGAAUUCCACGUGUAGCAGUGAAAUGCGUAGAUAUGUGGAGGAACACCGAUGGCGAAGGCAGCCCCCUGGGGUCAAGAUUGACGCUCAUGCACGAAAGCGUGGGGAGCAAACAGGAUUAGAUACCCUGGUAGUCCACGCCCUAAACGAUGUCUACUAGUUGUCGGGUCUUAAUUGACUUGGUAACGCAGCUAACGCGUGAAGUAGACCGCCUGGGGAGUACGGUCGCAAGNUUAAAACUCAAAGGAUUGACGGCGNGAGAGAGACGACGACGACGACGAGGGAGGAGG
rnacentral:rRNA from 1 species